rnacentral:rRNA from 1 species
UACGAGAGCCCCAAGCGUUAUCCGGAAUUAUUGGGCGUAAAGGGUGCGUAGGCGGUUGUGUUAGUCAUGUGUUAAAGGCCCGAGCUUAACUUGGGACAUGCACGCGAAACGGCACGACUUAGAAUGAAGGAGAGGUGUGCGGAACUCAUGGUGUAGGGGUGAAAUCCGUUGAUAUCAUGGGGAACACCUGUGGCGAAAGCGGCUCACUGGACCACAACUGACGCUGAGGCGCGAAAGCUAGGGGAGCAAACAGG